AUUGAACGCUGGCGGCAUGCUUUACACAUGCAAGUCGAACGGUAACAGGCCUUCGGGUGCUGACGAGUGGCGAACGGGUGAGUAAUGCAUCGGAACGUGCCCAGAGGUGGGGGAUAACGCAGCGAAAGCUGUGCUAAUACCGCAUGUGAUCUGAGGAUGAAAGCGGGGGACCAGGCAGCAAUGUUUGGCCUCGCGCCUUUGGAGCGGCCGAUGUCAGAUUAGGUAGUUGGUGGGGUAAAGGCCUACCAAGCCGACGAUCUGUAGCUGGUCUGAGAGGACGACCGGCAACACUGGGACGGAGACACGGCCCAGACGCCUACGGGAGGCCGCAGUGGGGAAUUUGGGGCAAUGGGCGCAAGCCUGAUCCAGCAAUGCCGCGUGCGGGAAGAAGGCCUUCGGGUUGUAAACCGCUUUUGUACGGAACGAAAAGGCUCUGGCUAAUACCUGGGGCUGAUGACGGUACCGGAAGAAUAAGCACCGGCUAACUACGUG
rnacentral:rRNA from 1 species